AGCAACACUUUUAUUGUAAUUUUUUAGCAGCCCAUGAAGCCAUACUCAUCUUUUAAGCUAGAAUUAUGCUACUUGUACAGAAAAUUUUUACAGAAAACUUUACUGAAAGAAUUAAAUUUUAUUUUUAAUUUUUUUAUUUUAUUUUCUUUCUGAAAUCCCGCCAACACCUUUUCACUCCCUCUAUCUCCCUCUUUCACUGGCCAAGUGUGACGUUCUCGUCGAAGAAGCUGAUAGGAAUGGGAUUCAAGUUCAAGUACAACUUGGAGGACAUGUUCAAAGCAGCCAUUGACACCUGCAGGGAUAAGGGAUUACUUCCCUACUCCUUUGAAACCCCUAUCGAUGACCAUUCCUCCCAAAGCCCUGUCACUGGCACCUAGAUUUUGAAUCAUUCACCAAAUAAAAAAGCUAGCUUAAGCAAUUAUCCUUUUUUUUUCCUUUCUAUUUUUCUGUUUUUGACGAUUGGCUUUAAGCAAUUGUCUUCUUAAAUGGGCUCUUUUGUUAUCUUUUCAAAAGAAUAAUUAAGUGGAUGAUGUGCUCCCGCUGUGAUUAAAGGAAGAGCCCUGUUAAUGUUUUCUGCAUUCUAUUCUUGAAAAUACAACAGGUACUGGAUUAUCAACUUCUCAAUUGAAAUUUUUGAGGAAAUGAAUUCCAUUUUGAGGGAAAAUUCAUGUUCUAUCUGGGAAGGAGGGGGAGACAGCUCCAGAUACAAAAAAAAUGAGAAGUUAUAACUGCUAGAUUUGCCCAGAAAGGGAAAGAAAUGGAACCAAUUAACUUCCUGUAAUUUGGAAAUCUAUGUUGCCCCUGUUACAGAAAUUAUUAAGGUAAUCAAGGAGUGAAAUGAUUUCAGGUUUCAAUUGCGACAAUUGCAGUUGCAGUUGAAUGCCCUAUUGGAAAACUACCAAAUCGGGUCCAUAAUCAAUCACAUGGCAAAUCAAGUUCUUGCGUUCCAGAGAAACUGCAAUGCCAUUCCCCUGUUCCUAUCAUUCUUACAUCAACUGCUCUAGAUAGUGAAUAAUAAUGGAUGCAUUGAGCAUUUGUGGCAAACAUUCAUAUGAGUCAAUCCUAAGUAAUCUCCUAUUCAAGGCUGAAUACAUUAUUCGGCCUCAAGUAUAUCCGGAUGUUGCAAAUUUUUCAUGACCAGUGACCAAAUCCCACAGGGCACAAACAUGGUAAUUCAACUCUAAACGGAACCAUUCCCCUUGUUGGUUUAUAUAAUGCAACCUCAAGGAACAGUAGAAAAAUCAUCACGUCACCUAAUACCGUCCCCAUUUCUAGCCUCAAAUUCUAUCAAUCUUUGUUCCGAAUAUUCCCACCUUCAAACUUUAGCUCUAGCCUUUAGCCAUGGAAGUUUCUCCACCGUCGGCCACCGUAUGCGUCACCAGAGCUUCCAGGUUCAUCGGCUCGUGGCUCGUCAUGAGGCUUCUUCAACGCGGACAUACUGUUCGCGCAACCGUUCGCGACCCAGGGAACAUGAAGAAGGUGAAGCCGAUGAUGGAGUAGCCAAAUGCCGACACCAACUUGACGCUGUGGAAGGUGGAUUUGGGCGAAGACGGGAGCUUCGAUGAGGCCAUUGAAGGUUGCUCCGGCAUGUUUCAUGUAGCCACGCUCAUGGGCUUCGACUCAAACAACCCUGAUGUUCGACGGCGGUGCGAGCGGCGGUGGUGUGGGCGACGGCGAGCGGUGCAAGCGGCGAUGGCGGACGGCUCAAGCGGCAUAAUCCAAGUAUAAAAAAAUUAAAAAUAAAAUUUAAUUCUUUCUGUAAAACUUCCCGUAAAACUUUUUGUACAAGUAGCAUAAUCCUUUAAGCUAUGGCUUGGAAAGAAGUUGGAAAUAGAUUGCACCUGGACAUCA